rnacentral:rRNA from 1 species
GGGGGCCCGCACAAGCGGCGGAGCAUGCGGAUUAAUUCGAUGCAACGCGAAGAACCUUACCAAGGCUUGACAUGGACCGGACCGGGCUGGAAACAGUCCUUCCCCUUUGGGGCCGGUUCACAGGUGGUGCAUGGUUGUCGUCAGCUCGUGUCGUGAGAUGUUGGGUUAAGUCCCGCAACGAGCGCAACCCUCGCCAUUAGUUGCCAUCAUUUAGUUGGGAACUCUAAUGGGACUGCCGGUGCUAAGCCGGAGGAAGGUGGGGAUGACGCCAAGUCCUCAUGGCCCUUACAGGGUGGGCUACACACGUGCUACAAUGGCGACUACAGAGGGUUAAUCCUUAAAAGUCGUCUCAGUUCGGAUUGUCCUCUGCAACUCGAGGGCAUGAAGUUGGAAUCGCUAGUAAUCGCGGAUCAGCAUGCCGCGGUGAAUACGUUCCCGGGCCUUGUACACACCGCCCGUCACACCAUGGGAGUUGGUUCUACCCGAAGGCGAUGCGCUAACCCGUAAGGGAGGCAGUCGACCACGGUAGGGUCAGCGACUGGGGUGAAG